UACGAAGGAGGCUAGCGUUGCUCGGAAUCACUGGGCGUAAAGCGCACGUAGGCGGUUCUUUAAGUCAGGGGUGAAAUCCUGGAGCUCAACUCCAGAACUGCCUUUGAUACUGGGGAUCUCGAGUCCGGGAGAGGUGAGUGGAACUGCGAGUGUAGAGGUGAAAUUCGUAGAUAUUCGCAAGAACACCAGUGGCGAAGGCGGCUCACUGGCCCGGUACUGACGCUGAGGUGCGAAAGCGUGGGGAGCAAACAGG
rnacentral:rRNA from 1 species